rnacentral:rRNA from 1 species
UACGUAGGGUGCGGGCGUUGUCCGGAAUUAUUGGGCGUAAAGAGCUCGUAGGCGGUGUGUCACGUCGAUCGUGAAAACUUACAGCUUAACUGUGAGCGUGCGGUCGAUACGGGCAUCACUGGAGUUCGGCAGGGGAGACUGGAAUUCCUGGUGUAGCGGUGAAAUGCGCAGAUAUCAGGAGGAACACCGGUGGCGAAGGCGGGUCUCUGGGCCGAUACUGACGCUGAGGAGCGAAAGCGUGGGGAGCGAACAGG